UACCAGCACCCCGAGUGGUCGGGACGAUUAUUGGGCCUAAAGCAUCCGUAGCCGGUUUUACAAGUCCUCCGUUAAAUCCAGCUGCUUAACAGAUGGGCUGCGGAGGAUACUAUAAGACUAGGAGGCAGGAGAGGCAAGCGGUACUCAGUGGGUAGGGGUAAAAUCCGUUGAUCCAUUGAAGACCACCAGUGGCGAAGGCGGCUUGCCAGAAUGCGCUCGACGGUGAGGGAUGAAAGCUGGGGGGCAAACCGG
rnacentral:rRNA from 1 species